AGCUGCUUUCAUGCUCCGGAUUACUCAUUUUUCCAGGCACGCCGACAAAUCAGCCGUAUGCAAAGGAAUUUCUGCUGUACACGAAGCGAUAGCUGUACCUGUAAUCAUACAAUACUACAACAAAUAGUAUAGAGCUGCUAAAAGAAAUGAGAUAUAUAAAACAGAAGAUCACUAUACAUACAUCACAACCCGGUGAACAAAACACUCGCUCCAGCGAGAUACAACAAAAGUAUGUAUAUGAACUCAAAACCUACCAUUAACUGUAGCU
rnacentral:lncRNA from 1 species